rnacentral:tRNA from 1 species
ACUUUUAAAGGAUAGAAGCUAUCCAUUGGUCUUAGGAACCAAAGAAU